UGCUGCUAUGUGGAGGGAUUGUUCUCUGCUUACAGGCUUUUGGAGGCAACUUGGAGGGCUUCCAGUCAUCAGGGCCAAAGUCUCACUGGCACUGCCCUACUGGCAUGUCCCUGGUGGAACUAAGCUGCAGGUUGCUGCAUAUCAAAUGGGGAUGAUCCAGCUCAGGUGAAUUCAUGCUUUUCCAAGAUGGACGUUCCAUCAGGAAGAUGAGGUAUUCUCACUCUACAUCUUUAAAACUGGUGUUGUUGGAAGAUCAGUGUUGUUCUUUGUGUUGUUUUUCCUGAACUCUGUGCUCCCCAAACUACUGUGAAAGCAAUGAAUAUAUUCCCAUGGCAACAGAAGCACAGAGCCUGGGAACUGAUCUCAGCAGGGCUCCUCCUCUGGCAAUCCCCAGCUGGUGUAAAUCGAGCAUUUCUCGUGCUGGCACAGGUAGAUGCUGAGGAAGGCAUCAUUUUGGGUUUGAGUUUCAGGAAGCAGUAUACACAGUCCUAAUGAGCCAUAUCUCAUUCUGUCUCUAAUUUGCUAAGUCUGUAAAAUUGUAAGUGCUGUAAAAUAGAUGGAAGGGGGAGAGUGGCGAGGAAUGCUUUUGUGUUUUCUUCAUCUACCUGUACAUGGGGAAAACCCAGGACCAGAAUGACAUGGGUGCAGCAUGCAGGUUGAACAGCCUGCAGCCAGACUCAUCUUGUGAGCAGUGUCAUGAUGCUGGUGGAAAACUUCGCAUAAAGGAGAAAGCCAGCUCAGGAGCAGGGCCAGGGGAAAGCCCCUGGUUGCUUGCAAGAGCCACUUAGCCUGGAGUGACAAAGCAUGUUGGAUCUCAUUCUUGUCUCGUUGCCUGUGGGGUAGAGGCUGUGUUUGGGCAGUCCUCCAGCUAGUGCAUGUGCAAUGGGGGCCCACUUGCUGCAGCCCCAUGGGGUGGGGGCUUGCACCUGCAGAAGGGUGCCAGCAGCAAAAACCCACUGUAUUAUCCCUAUUGUUAGCUUUGCUUCCCUAACCUUUGUUCAGUGUCUGUUUCAUUCUGGAAGCACAUUAAGCCCCUCCAUCAGUAGAGGUUUGCUAGGAAGAUGAUGGAUUCCCAUGGAACUGAGAUCCAGGUAUAGCCAGAGAGUACAACCAGAACACCUCUAACCAAGUCCUGCCACCUUUCUCCUCCUCUGUGGCAGCUUACACUGUGCUCAUCAGGAGAGGGGAAGCUGGUGGAGAAAAUGUUGGGAAACUUCUAGAGGUGCUAAUUAAGCAACUUUAGGUUAUAAACAUCUUUAAUUGGACUAAUUUUUGGUGUCACAUAUUGCCUCUUGAUGAGAAGAGUCC